CUGGAACAGGAACACGUAGUUGAAGAAAAGGCAAGAAAAAAGGAAACUGCAGAAGAAAAAGAAGAAGAACCCCCAAGAAAAUUCACAGUGAAAGGUUUAGCAGAAGCUGUUGCAGACCUCAAGAAGCUCCUUAAGAAAUCUGAAAACACGGCCCCCUAACACCAAAAGGUUUUCAUGAGUAGAGAGGACUGUUCAUGGUGCAUUAUCUGCUUACAAGCAAGUCUGUGAUGAAAAAAGAAACAAACCAAGCAAAGCACCGUGGACACAUUUCUGACAAGAGUGACACCUCCUCAAGAAGAGCCUCAGGCAGGUCCUUCAGGAGGUGAUCCAGAAGAAGGCAUUGUUAUCAUGGGAACGACAGCUCCAUACACGUGAUGGCCUCCGAAGACCUUCUGGUAUCUUCACGGCUUCAGAAUCAACUAGACAUCAGUCAGUUCAUUGCGUCUCACUCUCUUCUUCAUCGACGGGCCUUGUGAAUUAUUGGUAAAAUAGAUACAGGUGCACCUUUCAGGGGCUGGGCCAUGGAGGACCCCAAGACCCUCUCCCGGUCUCUGGAUUAUGGACUUACGAGCCUGACAAAGCAGUGGAGCAGAUACAGCGCCGUCAGGUGGUGGAACUGAAUGCGUGGCUGCUAAGCAAUCAAGAUGAACUCUGGCACAGCAGGGGGCUUCAAGAUCUGCUCCAACACUCUGGAGAUGCUCUUUCUGAUGGGCUCGACCAAGAUGGCACAAAAGGAAGAGGAAGCCAGCAGAUGGGGAGGUCAGAACAGGAAGACUGCAAUACUCUGAAACGAGUAUGACUAUUUAACAAGGAUUAAGACGUAAACAUCAGGUCAUGAUUUCUCUUUAGGGGAAGAUAUAACAU
rnacentral:lncRNA from 1 species